rnacentral:rRNA from 1 species
ACGUAGGGUGCAAGCGUUGUCCGGAAUUACUGGGUGUAAAGGGAGCGCAGGCGGACCGGCAAGUUGGAAGUGAAAUCCACGGGCUCAACCCGUGAAUUGCUUUCAAAACUGCUGGCCUUGAGUAGUGCAGAGGUAGGUGGAAUUCCCGGUGUAGCGGUGGAAUGCGUAGAUAUCGGGAGGAACACCAGUGGCGAAGGCGACCUACUGGGCACCAACUGACGCUGAGGCUCGAAAGCAUGGGUAGCAAACAG